GGGCCCGCACAAGCGGAGGAACAUGUGGUUUAAUUCGAUGAUACGCGAGGAACCUUACCCGGGCUUGAAAUGCAUCUGACCGACUUGGAAACAGGUCUUCUAGCAAUAGCAGAUGUGUAGGUGCUGCAUGGUUGUCGUCAGCUCGUGCCGUGAGGUGUCGGCUUAAGUGCCAUAACGAGCGCAACCCUUGCCAUUAGUUACUAACAGGUUAUGCUGAGGACUCUAGUGGGACUGCCAUCGUAAGAUGUGAGGAAGGUGGGGAUGACGUCAAAUCAGCACGGCCCUUACGUCCGGGGCGACACACGUGUUACAAUGGGGGGUACAGAAAGCAGCUACUUGGUGACAAGGUGCUAAUCUCCAAAACCUCUCUCAGUUCGGAUCGGAGUCUGCAACUCGACUCUGUGAAGCAGGAUUCGCUAGUAAUCGCGCAUCAGCCAUGGCGCGGUGAAUACGUUCCCGGGCCUU
rnacentral:rRNA from 1 species